rnacentral:rRNA from 1 species
UGGGUUAGUCCGCACGAGCGCACCUCACUUCUUUUGCCAGCGGUUUGGCCGGGCACUCUGAAGGAACUGCCGGUGACAAGCCGGAGGAAGGCGGGGAUGACGUCAAGUCCUCAUGGCCCUUAUGAGCUGGGCUACACACGUGCUACAAUGGCGGUGACAGUGGGAAGCAAGGGGGCAACCCGGCAGCUAAUCCAUAAAAACCGUCUCAGUUCGGAUUGCACUCUGCAACUCGAGUGCAUGAAGUUGGAAUCGCUAGUAAUCGCGGAUCAGCAUGCCGCGGUGAAUACGUUCCCGGGCCUUGUACACACCGCCCGUCACACCAUGGGAGUUGGCUUUACCCGAAGCCGGUGCGCUAACCGCAAGGAGGCAGCCGUCCACGGUAAGGUCAGCGACUGGGGUGAAGUCGUAACAAGGUAGCCGUAGGGGAACCUGCGGCUGGAUCACCUCCUUUCU